rnacentral:rRNA from 1 species
CUACGGGCGGCUGCAGUGAGGAAUAUUGCACAAUGGGGGGAACCCUGAUGCAGCAACGCCGCGUGGAGGAUGACGCAUUUCGGUGUGUAAACUCCUUUUAUAUGUCAAGAAAAUGACGGUAGCAUAUGAAUAAGCACCGGCUAACUCCGUGCCAGCAGCCGCGGUAAUACGGAGGGUGCAAGCGUUACUCGGAAUCACUGGGCGUAAAGGACGCGUAGGCGGGUUGGAAAGUCAGGUGUGAAAUCCUACAGCUUAGCUGUAGAACUGCACUUGAAACUUCUAAUCUAGAGUGUGGGAGGGGGAGAUGGAAUUAGUGGUGUAGGGGUAAAAUCCGUAGAUAUCACUAGGAAUACCUAAAGCGAAGGCGAUCUCCUGGAACAUUACUGACGCUAAGGCGUGAAAGCGUGGGGAGCAAACAGGAUUAGAUACCCCCGUAGUC